AAACCAUGAUGUGGAUAAUGCCUUUGCAACUCUUUAAAUUUCUCCCAUGCGACGUACAAUGUUUCUUCUUUUGCUUAUUUUAAUGUUGAAAUUUCAUUUCGCAACUU